GCAUUGGUGUUUCAGUGGUAGAAUUCUCACCUCCCAUGAGGGAGACCUGGGUUCAAUUCCUGGCCAAUGGG
rnacentral:tRNA from 1 species